rnacentral:rRNA from 1 species
UUAGGAAUCUUCCGCAAUGGGCGCAAGCCUGACGGAGCGACGCCGCUUGGAGGAAGAAGCCCUUCGGGGUGCAAACUCCUGAACCCGGGACGAAACCCCCGACGAGGGGACUGACGGUACCGGGGUAAUAGCGCCGGCCAACUCCGUGCCAGCAGCCGCGGUAAUACGGAGGGCGCGAGCGUUACCCGGAUUCACUGGGCGUAAAGGGCGUGUAGGCGGCCUGGGGCGUCCCAUGUGAAAGACCACGGCUCAACCGUGGGGGAGCGUGGGAUACGCUCAGGCUAGACGGUGGGAGAGGGUGGUGGAAUUCCCGGAGUAGCGGUGAAAUGCGCAGAUACCGGGAGGAACGCCGAUGGCGAAGGCAGCCACCUGGUCCACCCGUGACGCUGAGGCGCGAAAGCGUGGGGAGCAAACCGGAUU